GACGAACGCUGGCGGCAGGCCUAACACAUGCCAGUCGAGCGGACCUUUCGGGGUCAGCGGCGGACGGGUGAGUAACGCGUGGGAAUAUGCCCUUCUCUACGGAAUAGUCCUGGGAAACUGGGGGUAAUACCGUAUACGCCCUUUGGGGGAAAGAUUUAUCGGGGAAGGAUUAGCCCGCGUUGGAUUAGGUAGUUGGUGGGGUAAUGGCCUACCAAGCCGACGAUCCAUAGCUGGUUUGAGAGGAUGAUCAGUCACACUGGGACUGAGACACGGCCCAGACUCCUACGGGAGGCAGCAGUGGGGAAUCUUAGACAAUGGGGGCAACCCUGAUCUAGCCAUGCCGCGUGAGUGAUGAAGGCCUUAGGGUUGUAAAGCUCUUUCAGCUGGGAAGAUAAUGACGGUACCAGCAGAAGAAGCCCCGGCUAACUCCGUG
rnacentral:rRNA from 1 species